UUUUAAUAAAAACCUUCUCCCUUCUUUCAUUUAAACAAAAUCUCUAACCCCUUGGGCUGUGGCCUCUCUCUCUCUGUGGCCUCUCCCCUUGUGGCCCAUCUCUACCUUUGCUCCCAGCAGCCCACCUCUGCAGCUCCUCAGCCCACCUAGUCUUUUCUUUCCUCUGGCCCGUACCCCUUGGAACACCCUUCUUUUCCUUGGUCGUUUUCUUCCAGCCGAGCGAGCACAUGGAUGGCGUGAGGCUGUGGUCCUCACCACCGCACCACCACCUGCUCCCUCCUCCCUCUAUUAAUCCAUCCCCGAACCCUAGGGCUCUCCCCUUCCUUCCCCAUCCUCGCGCCGCCACCCCUCUCCCCUUCUCUUUUUCUCUGUGAAACCAAAGGAAGAGGAAACCCCAAGCUUCUGCCACCACCGUGCUCGCCAUGGCGCCGCCACUUCCGGCCGCCCCUCUUCGUUCUGAGAGCACCACGAGAACCGCCUCUUCUCCCUGAUCAUCCUCGUGCAAGGAAUCGAGCCUGGGCGCCUCGUGCCGUCGCCAAGGUCGCCGAUUCCCCGCGCAGACCGUCGCCUUUCUUCUCCAAUUCCGGCCGGCCUCGUCCUCCUCCGGCCAAACCGGGCACAUCUCCGGCUUCCCCAAGUCAAGGCGCACCUUCGACUUCCUCGUCCUCGUCCCGGAUCGCCUUGAACCGACAGAUACGUGCUCGGCUGCAAGUAUCCGCCAUGGUUUCCUCAAUCCCCGAGCUCCGCCGUGGUUGGCUCUAAUAGGGCGCGACUCUGGUCCUCUUCAACAUCUACACAGCAGCGCAGUGAUCUCGUGGCUGGAGAUCCUUCAACUGAAGCGGAGCACCUCAGAAUAUCAACAUAGGCAGUGUAGCCCAGCCGAUCGGCUGAUGGGCCUUGGCCCAGUUCUUCACGGCAUAGCCCGUCGCUCCGUGCACGUAGUAGCCCCAGAUCCACCCUCUCGCCCGGCGUGGCAGCAUUUGCUUCUUCCCGGAUAGGAUCACGAAGUGUUGAUGUGAGAUACGACGAGUUCUCCGGCAAGUUCUUCUGCAACCUUUC